rnacentral:sRNA from 1 species
ACCUGACCGCCGGCUGCAAGAACCCGUCCGGGCAGGC